rnacentral:rRNA from 1 species
AUUGAACGCUGGCGGCAGGCCUAACACAUGCAAGUCGAACGGUAACAGGAAGAAGCUUGCUUCUUUGCUGACGAGUGGCGGACGGGUGAGUAAUGUCUGUGAAACUCCCUGAUGGCGGGGGAUAACUACUGGAAACGGUAGCUAAUACCGCAUAACGUCUCAAGACCAAAGAGGGGGACUUUCGGGCCUCUUUCCAUCGGCUUUUCCCAGAUGGGAUUCGCUAGUAGGUGGGGUAAAGGCUUACCUAGGCGACGGUCCCUAGCUGGUCUGAGAGGGUGACCAGCCACACUGGAACUGAGACACGGUCCAGACUCCUACGGGAGGCAGCAGUGGGGAAUAUUGCACAAUGGGCGAAAGCCUGAUGGAGCCAUGCCGCGUGUAUGAAGAAGGCCUUCGGGUUGUAAAGUACUUUCAGCGGGGAGGAAGGAAGUAAAGUUAAUACCUUUGCUCAUUGACGUUACCCGAAGAAGAAGCAACGGCUAACUCCGUG